rfam:Paenibacillus popilliae ATCC 14706 DNA, contig: contig002.
GCAGUCCCAUCAGGAUAAUGCCUAACCAGCAGUCCUGUAGCUAGUUCUUGGAGGUUACCCGGUAACGGAUAACAUUAAAGCGUAGAACGGCAAAAUAACGGGCCGAAAGCGAAAGCUGAAGUGAUGGAACCUCGAAAAAUAAGUGGAGACAGGCCGAUGUGGUUACACAUACAGAAGGCGAAACGCAUUCAAGCGCAAAGGUGAGUUUGAAUGGGCACUCCGGGGUCUAAGAGCU